UAUUUGUUCCAUUUCUACGAUUUUUCCAGCGAUCCGGAGUCUGGCAGAGACUACGUCACUCGCACGGUCUGCUCGCCACGCCUGGCCGUGAGCGGUCGAGUGCAUCGUUCGUUGCAAAGUCAAACAAACGAGGUUGCAGAAGCCAUGCGUUUAAUCUUGAAUCGCUUACUGGAUUUUAUUGAUAAUACAUCAUGUUUUUCCUAUGUUUCUUGAGUGUUUCUUAUUUAUACUUGGUUUUGACUUGGUUUAUUUUUAAACGCCAUUAAAAAGACUGCAGCUAUGUGAAACUCACGAACUCUCAAAGAAAACCUACCGACACUUCAGUCCAUCUCAUUUCGUUAGUAAAGCGCGAGUGCCACCUACCGAAUCAAUCUAAAUUGCAACCCUCAUCAAUUUACACACAAGUAGAUGAUCGGUGGUUGUUACAGCAAUUGAUUUUUCAUUGUCAUAAAACCGGUUCAAAACUGACAAAAUAGCAAAAUGGCCUGACGAAUCCAUUUUUUUACCUAACUGAAACUUCUUUUGCAUCGCCAUUCAGCAGUUACUCAAGCAACUGGAAAUGAUUUUGAAAUUGCUUAAGUAACUGCUUUUUGACAUACCUCAAUCGACGCUUCUUGUGCAUCAUUUAUCACUUUCUUUUGUUUCUCUAGGUGUGGAAACGGAACGAAUUUUCGGCUUUAUCGGCGGGCUGAUAUUUGGUCACCUUAUUCAUUGCAUUUUAUUCUGCCCGGCUCAACCUCCACCAGAUAGAACAGUACCCAGGAUUGAAUGUCCCAACGAUAUACAUGUAACUGCGCCGCCCCUGGAAACAAGAGCUACUGUAUCCUGGACCGAGCCUGAAGCACAUGAUGACAGAGAUCCUGAUGUUUUAACCACACGGGAUCCUGAAUGGCUGAAUCCAGGCGUAAAGCUUCGGGAAAAUAGUUACAAAGUUACAUACUCUGCAACCGAUGCUUCCGGCAACUCCAACUCCUGCUCAUUUUAUGUCACUGUACAUGUCAUAACGUGCCCUCAUCCUACUCAGCAACACCAUAUAAGACACCAGGUGCAACA